GACGAACGCUGGCGGCGUGCUUAACACAUGCAAGUCGAACGGAAAGGCCCUGCUUUUGUGGGGUGCUCGAGUGGCGAACGGGUGAGUAACACGUGAGUAACCUGCCCUUGACUUUGGGAUAACUUCAGGAAACUGGGGCUAAUACCGGAUAGGAGCUCCUGCUGCAUGGUGGGGGUUGGAAAGUUUCGGCGGUUGGGGAUGGACUCGCGGCUUAUCAGCUUGUUGGUGGGGUAGUGGCUUACCAAGGCUUUGACGGGUAGCCGGCCUGAGAGGGUGACCGGCCACAUUGGGACUGAAAUACGGCCCAGACCCCUACGGGAGGCAGCAGUGGGGAAUAUUGCACAAUGGGCGGAAGCCUGAUGCAGCAACGCCGCGUGCGGGAUGACGGCCUUCGGGUUGUAAACCGCUUUCGCCUGUGACGAAGCGUGAGUGACGGUAAUGGGUAAAGAAGCACCGGCUAACUACGUG
rnacentral:rRNA from 1 species